rnacentral:lncRNA from 1 species
UCUCCAGCGGGCGGGGCGGGGCCGCCACGGGCCGCCCGCGAGUGGCGCCGGGAGGCGGUCGCCCUACGCCGCCCGGUAGGCCAACGGGCUCCCGGCCCACAGGCGGAAUCCGCCCGGGGAUGUCGCGGCGUGGGGGAGGGCCGAGAAUUCCCGAGGAAAGACAAGUAGCCCGGGUCGAGUCUCAGAAAAUGCGAGGAGCAACCCUGGUCAUGCAGAACCCGGAGUCCCACAAGGCAGGGAGAGCACGGCACGAGUAUGUGUGGACAAUGGAAAGGUGUGACAACGCACUGUGGAGGGGGGAAUAGUGUUAACCUUGGGAUUCACUCUCAGAGUUUGGAAUAGAGAAAAUACUCUCGCCACCCAAUUCUGCAGCACCACAUC